CGCUGGCGGCGUGCCUAACACAUGCAAGUCGAGCGAUUCUCUUCGGAGAAGAGCGGCGGACGGGUGAGUAACGCGUGGGUAACCUGCCCUGUACACACGGAUAACAUACCGAAAGGUAUGCUAAUACGAGAUAAUAUACUUUUAUCGCAUGGUAGAAGUAUCAAAGCUCCGGCGGUACAGGAUGGACCCGCGUCUGAUUAGCUAGUUGGUAAGGUAACGGCUUACCAAGGCGACGAUCAGUAGCCGACCUGAGAGGGUGAUCGGCCACAUUGGAACUGAGACACGGUCCAAACUCCUACGGCAGGCAGCAGUGGGGAAUAUUGCACAAUGGGCGAAAGCCUGAUGCAGCAACGCCGCGUGAGCGAUGAAGGCCUUCGGGUCGUAAAGCUCUGUCCUCAAGGAAGAUAAUGACGGUACUUGAGGAGGAAGCCCCGGCUAACUACGUGCCAGCAGCCGCGGUAAUACGUAGGGGGCUAGCGUUAUCCGGAAUUACUGGGCGUAAAGGGUGCGUAGGUGGUUUCUUAAGUCAGAGGUGAAAGGCUACGGCUCAACCGUAGUAAGCCUUUGAAACUGGGAAACUUGAGUGCAGGAGAGGAGAGUGGAAUUCCUAGUGUAGCGGUGAAAUGCGUAGAUAUUAGGAGGAACACCCGUUGCGAAGGCGGCUCUCUGGACUGUAACUGACACUGAGGCACGAAAGCGUGGGGAGCAAAACAGGAUUAGAUACCCUGGUAGUCCACGCCGUAAACGAUGAGUACUAGCUGUCGGAGGGUUACCCCCUUCGGUGGCGCAGCUAACGCAUUAAGUACUCCGCCUGGGAAGUACGCUCGCAAGAGUGAAACUCAAAGGAAUUGACGGGGACCCGCACAAGUAGCGGAGCAUGUGGUUUAAUUCGAAGCAACGCGAAGAACCUUACCUAAGCUUGACAUCCUUUUGACCGAUGCCUAAUCGCAUCUUUCCCUUCGGGGACAGAAGUGACAGGUGGUGCAUGGUUGUCGUCAGCUCGUGUCGUGAGAUGUUGGGUUAAGUCCCGCAACGAGCGCAACCCUUGCCUUUAGUUGCCAGCAUUAAGUUGGGCACUCUAGAGGGACUGCCAGGGAUAACCUGGAGGAAGGUGGGGAUGACGUCAAAUCAUCAUGCCCCUUAUGCUUAGGGCUACACACGUGCUACAAUGGGUGGUACAGAGGGCAGCCAAGUCGUGAGGCGGAGCUAAUCCCUUAAAGCCAUUCUCAGUUCGGAUUGUAGGCUGAAACUCGCCUACAUGAAGCUGGAGUUACUAGUAAUCGCAGAUCAGAAUGCUGCGGUGAAUGCGUUCCCGGGUCUUGUACACACCGCCCGUCACACCACGGGAGUUGGGGGCGCCCGAAGCCGGAUUGCUAACCUUUUGGAAGCGUCCGUCGAAGGUGAAAUCAAAAA
rnacentral:rRNA from 1 species